rnacentral:sRNA from 1 species
UAUUCUGCCCCAUGGGGAAGGAUGAGAAGCUUCGACUUUCGACUCGAGCGAAGCGAGAGAACGUUGCCGGGCAACGGCCCGAAGGGCGAGGCGCUUUAGCGCCGAGUAAUCCUUCCCCCACCACCA